rnacentral:rRNA from 1 species
UGAGUAACACGUGAGCAACCUGCCCGACAAACCGGGAUAACAGCGGGAAACUGCUGCUAAUACCGGAUACACCAGGUAUGGCGCAUGCUGUAUCUGGGAAAGGGUUUACCGAUGUCGGAUGGGCUCGCGUCCCAUUAGCUAGUUGGUGAGGUAACGGCUCACCAAGGCGACGAUGGGUAGCUGGUCUGAGAGGACGAUCAGCCACACUGGAACUGAGACACGGUCCAGACUCCUACGGGAGGCAGCAGUGGGGAAUCUUGCACAAUGGGCGAAAGCCUGAUGCAGCGACGCCGCGUGGAGGAUGAAGGCCUUCGGGUUGUAAACUCCUGUCUGGGGGGAUGAACACUGACAGUACCCCCGGAGGAAGCCCCGGCUAACUACGUGCCAGCAGCCGCGGUAAUACGUAGGGGGCGGGCGUUGUCCGGAAUUACUGGGCGUAAAGCGCGCGCAGGCGGCCUAUUAAGUCAGGUGUUAA